ensembl:rRNA 5S_rRNA 5S ribosomal RNA
GGGUGUACCACCCUGAAUGCACCCUAUCUCGUCUGAUCUUGGAAGCUAAGUAGGGUCCGGCCUGAUUAAUACUUGGAUGGGAGCUCCAAUUUUUCAAUCCACAGGGUCACUCU